UCGAGGGGCAGCGAGUAGAUUGCUUGCAAUCUACGUCGGCGACCGGCGCACGGGUGCGUAACGCGUAUGCAACCUACCCAUUACAGGGGGAUAACACUGAGAAAUCGGUACUAAUACCCCAUAACAUCCAGGGAGGCAUCUUCUUGGGUUGAAAACUCCGGUGGUAAUGGAUGGGCAUGCGUUGUAUUAGUUAGUUGGUGGGGUAACGGCUCACCAAGACGACGAUACAUAGGGGGACUGAGAGGUUAACCCCCCACAUUGGUACUGAGACACGGACCAAACUCCUACGGGAGGCAGCAGUGAGGAAUAUUGGUCAAUGGACGCAAGUCUGAACCAGCCAUGCCGCGUGCAGGAAGACGGCUCUAUGAGUUGUAAACUGCUUUUGUACGAGGGUAAACGCAGAUACGUGUAUCUGUCUGAAAGUAUCGUACGAAUAAGGAUCGGCUAACUCCGUGCCAGCAGCCGCGGUAAUACGGAGGAUUCAAGCGUUAUCCGGAUUUAUUGGGUUUAAAGGGUGCGUAGGCGGUCGGAUAAGUUAGAGGUGAAAUCCCGGGGCUCAACUUCGGAAUUGCCUCUGAUACUGUUCGGCUAGAGAGUAGUUGCGGUAGGCGGAAUGUAUGGUGUAGCGGUGAAAUGCUUAGAGAUCAUACAGAACACCGAUUGCGAAGGCAGCUUACCAAGCUACUUCUGACGUUGAGGCACGAAAGCGUGGGGAGCAAACAGGAUUAGAUACCCUGGUAGUCCACGCAGUAAACGAUGAAUGCUACCUGUCCGGAGCUUCGGUUCUGGGUGGGACAGCGAAAGCGUUAAGCAUUCCACCUGGGGAGUACGCCGGCAACGGUGAAACUCAAAGGAAAUUGACGGGGCCCGCACAAGCGGAGGAACAUGUGGUUUAAUUCGAUGAUACGCGAGGAACCUUACCCGGG
rnacentral:rRNA from 1 species